GUUUCAAUAGCUCAGUUGGUUAGAACGUGAGGCUGUUAACCCCAAGGUCAGAGGUUCGACCCUCCCUGGAGCG
rnacentral:tRNA from 1 species